UUGCUAUGAUGAUACUCUACUUUGGUCUGUGUUUCUGAAUCCUGAUAUUAAUUAUAAGUCCUGAGCAA